CUCCCCCGCCACCCAUCCCCCAAAACCACCUUCUUCCUCUGCCCCUCCCCACCCUAGCACUGCCGCACCCCCGCCCCUAGUGCCACCGCGCCCAACCCGAGCCACUGCACCGCCGUACCUCACCCCAGCCACCUUCCUCCGCCGCCCCGCCACCGCAACCCGCAAGCCUGACCACCCCGUCCUCCUUCCGCCAGCGCGCCCCACUUUGCCGAGUUGCUCCUCGCGGGCGCCUGGAUCCAGCAAGAUCCGAGGCAUGCCCAGCUAGCUAAACUCCCGGUGACAGGUCCGGUCUGGCUACCACCUCCAGCGCGCCUCCCGGCAAUGGAUCCAGGCCGGUAACCGCCCCCUGCACAGCCACGACCAACCCCUGCCGCAGGAUCCAUCCGUCAGUUGGCCCCCUGCAUGACCACAACGCGAGCCACUCCCCCGCCAGCCACCGGAUCCGCGUCUCCGUCCUCCCUUCCUCCUGCGCCUCUGUGUCGCCAUCCUCGUCGGCUAUCAGGCCACGCGAGGAUGCAGCUUGGCCCGGCCACAUCAUCGCCGUCCUCGUCUCAGGCCAUCACCGACUGGAUCCGCACCACCACCGGUGCCCGGUCGCGCACCUAUCCGUCGGGGCUGAGGAGCAAACCAGGCAGCCUCCAUCUCUCCUCUCCGUCCAGCGACCGUCGCCGUGCAGCUCGGCGGCAUGCGUGAUGUGGUUCAGUGCUGGUGCUGGUGCACGGGACUCCCCUACUUCUUCUCUCCACCAACGAACAACCAACCAUGCCAGUGUUUGAGAAAAGACAGGUGAUGCAGUCCGCCGGCCUCAUCCCAUGAAAAAUUUGUUUGCAGCUCGCUUGCGUGUGUCGCGACGCUUAGGUAUGGGAGCAAAGCAGCUGAUGGCGGUGCGGCAAGGAGGGUUAUUUACGCCGUCGCGGGUGGCCUCCAUUGGCUCUGUAUCAUUGAUGCUUCCCCUGACCACAGGUUGCCUCCGUCCCAUGACCAAGUGAUGUUUUCCCCCGGUAGUUUUGUUUUUUCUUUUGAAGAGUAUCCUUGCAGUUAAAUUUGUGCUCGGUGUAAUUCGCGUGCGAGUCCGUGGGCUAUAGAUCCUUUCUUUUUUACUAUUGUUUGCAAUUCUCUAGAUGUGUGUUGCAGUGCAUUGUAUAAAUGUUUGGUAUAAACAUCUUUGAAGUUCA